AAACACACAAUUAUCAAAGAUUGUUUUUUCGUUAAUCAGAUCUAGGCCUAGCGUAUAUGACUUAUGUAAUAUUCAUGACAAAAUGCUGUGAUUACAUGCCUUUCUUUCCGUUGGAUGUGGUGGUUACAGACUUCCUGUCAGUGUUGUAAUACACACACACGUACUUCCUGUCAUCAUCAUCCUCUCAUCGUCCCGAAUUAAAAUUUCGAACGUGGUCAUUUGGUUACAUUUUCCAUCAAAGAUCAUACAAAUUAUGAUGAAACUAUUUACAUGGAUAGUCACAUCAUGAUUGAGACUGGGUCACUAGGCUAAAUACUCCGGGAUGCAGCAUGAUGAAAGUCAACGUCGGAAACCCACGGUUGAUUACACUUCGUUCCUCUCUCCAUCAUCCGUGGGUCCAUUCAUUCCUACUCAUUCCGACGAUGGAUGAAAGUCAGAAUAAACAAAGAAACUUCAGGGUAAUUAAUCCACAUUGUAACAGGGAGAAAAUGCAACGAACCAGACCGGGAUCUGUACCCGGGCCUCCUGAAUCUCUAGUCAGGAGCUUUAUCAACUGAGCUGUCUACCUGGACACCGGCGAUCGAACUCGGCUGACCGCUACAAUCAGUCCGAGUCCGAGUGUAUGAGCUGGCCUAAAAUGAGAAAAAUCAGAAGAUGCUAGGAAAAGAAUAUCACUGAUAAUGCAAAGUAGAGCAACAAUACAUUUGUAAACUCCUAUGUAGAUCACAUUUUAUUAAGGAUGUACUCUACAUCGUCAUAAUGUCUGACUUCCUUUUAAAACAUGGAUGAAAAUAUAAAUUUGAGCAAUAUUUGCCUAUUCAUUUAAAAUAAAUCACCUAGCUGAGUAACUAAGUAGGUCAGCACGUCGACUACUAACCGGUAGAUCGCGGGUUCGAAUCCAGCAGGAGUUUUAUUAAAUUUUUUCAGACUGCUUUUUAUUAAAACUGCAUUUUUGGACUAAUUAAGUAAAUCUGAAAGUUUUCAAUUUCAAAAAUUUUUUGUACAUAUCCCCCACUUCUCAUUCGUAUCAAAUUUCUCUGGUGUAGCAUACCUCAUUAAAUGUUCAGUGCAUCCUAUGUACUGAAGUACUUUUUAUUUACGACAUUUAAAACAUGUACUUCAGUACACAAUGUGUAGCGUGGAGAGGUGCGUUGAACAUCCACAAUAUAUGUGUAAUUUUGACGGGGAAAUGUCAUUUUUUUAAUUCAUCAAUAAAAAAAAAAUGUUUAGCACUUAAAGUCAAAUUAUGUGAUUGGUCAUGGAAAACGUGAAGAUAACGAACAGUGAUGAAUCUCGUAACGCCUAUAAGCAAUACAAAAGAGUUUGACAAACACAGGCCCCUGGAUAUACCAGAGGUGGAAUCAGGUGCCUAGGAGAAGUAAGCAUCCCCUGUCGACCGGUCUAAUAUUAAACCUUUAUUGCGAAAGACAUACAUCCUAUAGCAUUAUAACAAAAUUGAACAUGGAUAAUAAUUACAAAGCUGAAAAUAAACGGCCAAUUCUUACAAAGACAUCUAGCAUACAAUAGUAUAUAGUAAAUACAAUAGUAUAAUGAUAAUAAAAAAAGGGGGAGAAUGACGAUACAAAUUACAUAUUAUGGACUGUUCUUAGUUCAAGAGCUUUACAAUAAAUUUUCCUGAGUUACAAAGUUCUUUAACAUUGUUCACACUUAAUUGUUGUACAUGUAUAAAUUUGAACAUGGAGGGUUUACUCCAGUAAUACUUUUUCACUAACAUGGUUCUAAUCUGACAAUAUACAGGACAGACUAACAAAAAGUGGUAUUCAUCCUCAAUUUCAGUGAUACAUGUUUUACAAAACCUUAUUUUAAUGUCUGCCAGUUUCUAUGGAUAAAUUAUGUGAUGAUAACCUUAUUUUGGAAAUACCCUUUUUGUACAAUUUAGGAAUAGAUUUUUCUAGGUAAUAUUGCAAGCAAAAAUUAUCAACCAAAUGUUUGUAAAUAGUGCAUUUUGAUUCAUACUGCAUGUUGCUAUGUAAAUUUUGAAUAAAAUUAUGUUUCAA